rnacentral:rRNA from 1 species
AGCGAACGCUGGCGGCAGGCCUAACACAUGCAAGUCGAACGGAUCCUUCGGGAUUAGUGGCGGACGGGUGAGUAACACGUGGGAACGUGCCCUUUGGUUCGGAACAACUCAGGGAAACUUGAGCUAAUACCGGAUGUGCCCUUCGGGGGAAAGAUUUAUCGCCAUUGGAGCGGCCCGCGUCUGAUUAGCUAGUUGGUGAGGUAAAGGCUCACCAAGGCGACGAUCAGUAGCUGGUCUGAGAGGAUGGUCAGCCACGUUGGGACUGAGACACGGCCCAAACUCCUACGGGAGGCAGCAGUGGGGAAUCUUGCGCAAUGGGCGAAAGCCUGACGCAGCCAUGCCGCGUGAGUGAUGAAGGUCUUAGGAUUGUAAAAUUCUUUCACCGGGGACGAUAAUGACGGUACCCGGAGAAGAAGCCCCGGCUAACUUCGUGCCAGCAGCCGCCGUAA